UACGAAGGGGGCUAGCGUUGCUCGGAUUUACUGGGCGUAAAGGGCGCGUAGGCGGCUCGUUUUGUCAGGGGUGAAAGCCCAGGGCUCAACCUUGGAAUUGCCUUUGAUACUGGCUAUCUUGAGUACGGAAGAGGUAUGUGGAACUCCGAGUGUAGAGGUGAAAUUCGUAGAUAUUCGGAAGAACACCAGUGGCGAAGGCGACAUACUGGUCCGUUACUGACGCUGAGGCUCGAAAGCGUGGGGAGCAAACAGG
rnacentral:rRNA from 1 species